AUUGAACGCUGGCGGCAUGCCUUACACAUGCAAGUCGAACGGUAACAGGUCUUCGGAUGCUGACGAGUGGCGAACGGGUGAGUAAUACAUCGGAACGUGCCUAGUAGUGGGGGAUAACUACUCGAAAGAGUGGCUAAUACCGCAUGAGAUCUACGGAUGAAAGCAGGGGAUAGAAAGACCUUGUGCUACUAGAGCGGCCGAUGGCAGAUUAGGUAGUUGGUGGGAUAAAAGCUUACCAAGCCGACGAUCUGUAGCUGGUCUGAGAGGACGAUCAGCCACACUGGGACUGAGACACGGCCCAGACUCCUACGGGAGGCAGCAGUGGGGAAUUUUGGACAAUGGGCGCAAGCCUGAUCCAGCAAUGCCGCGUGCAGGAUGAAGGCCUUCGGGUUGUAAACUGCUUUUGUACGGAACGAAAAGCCCCGGGUUAAUACCCUGGGGUCAUGACGGUACCGUAAGAAUAAGCACCGGCUAACUACGUGCCAGCCGCCGCCGUAA
rnacentral:rRNA from 1 species